UACGUAGGGUGCAAGCGUUGUCCGGAAUUAUUGGGCGUAAAGAGCUCGUAGGCGGUCUGUCGCGUCUGCUGUGAAAACUCAGGGCUUAACCCUGAGCUUGCAGUGGGUACGGGCAGACUAGAGUGCGGUAGGGGAGACUGGAAUUCCGUGGUGAUAGCGGUGAAAUGCGCAGAUAUCAGGAGGAACACCGGUGGCCGAAGGCGGGUCUCUGGGCCGUAACUGAACGCUG
rnacentral:rRNA from 1 species